CUGGAGCAGAAAAAAUUUCAAAGUUUGUUACAUAGUGCAAUCAGUGUAUUCAGGCAGCGAGAUGAGAAGGUGCAACCAGGUAGAGCUUGAAAUUGGAACCCAAGAGGCUUAUAUUCAUCCAUGAGGCUUCCCUGGGGUGGGAUCGAGGCCUCCCGUGAGCCCUUGUCUCCUCAGGAGCAAAGCAGGGGUCCUUCUCGUAGUGACGUUACACCCUCUUCUGCCUCCUUAGGAAGCUGCUGGAGGACUGGUUGGCGUCCUGAGGAAAAACCUACAAGAGGCCCCCCAUGCGCCCCGCUGCCCCGAAGCCUCCGAAGGCAAAGUCCAGCCUGAACCUGGGGCUCCUUGGAGGAAGAGGAGGAGAAAGAGAAAGCGGAGAAGGAGCAGCAGCACCUGGCCAACGAGCUCACACACACCUUGGCAGAGUGCCGGAAGCUGGCCAAAGAGAUGGAGCGCUUCAGGCAACUCGCACCAGAUGCAGAUGCAAUGCUGGAGGCCGUACC
rnacentral:lncRNA from 11 species